rnacentral:rRNA from 1 species
GACGAACGCUGGCGGCGUGCUUAACACAUGCAAGUCGAACGGAAAGGCCCUGCUUUUGUGGGGUGCUCGAGUGGCGAACGGGUGAGUAACACGUGAGUAACCUGCCCUUGACUUUGGGAUAACUUCAGGAAACUGGGGCUAAUACCGGAUAGGAGCUCCUGCUGCAUGGUGGGGGUUGGAAAGUUUCGGCGGGUGGGGAUGGACUCGCGGCUUAUCAGCUUGUUGGUGGGGUAGUGGCUUACCAAGGGUUUGACGGGUAGCCGGCCUGAGAGGGUGACCGGGGUCAAUGGGACUGAGAUACGGACCAGACGCCAACGGGAGGCAGCAGGGGGGAGUAUUGCACAAUGGGCGGAAGCCUGAUGCAGCGACGCCGCGGGUGGGAUGACGGCCUGCGGGUUGUAAACCGCUUUCGCCUGUGACGAAGCGGGAGUGACGGUAAUGGGUAAAGAAGCACCGGCUAACUACGUG